AAGGAGAGGAAGCACAACACACACACACACACACCCCGAACCCUAACUAACAAACUCCCUCACUCCCUUCCUACAUUUCACUAGCCCUAAUUUCUGCCCAUCAUCUCAUAUAAUGCCCCCCUCCUGUCCCAUGUUCUAUCAUGGCCGCCACGGAGGGUGCUGUAGGCGAGGGUUGCCCGAGCACCGUUUGCAAGGUCUCGGCUGCGCGCAGUCGGCCAGAAAGUGUUGAGAAACAGCAGACCCUGAAGGCUUGGGUAGAAGGUGGGGUGGAUGUGGUAUAGGGAGGAGUGGAUGGGAAAUGUGGAUGACGGUGAAGAUAUUACAUGCAGUCAAUACGCUGCGGAGGUCUAGCUUUGGUGCGAUGGGCUAGAAGUGACGGCUGACAUGUUCCCUGCGAGCAGAGAGAAAUAUGCGCUGAGAUUGGAUUGAGGGCCUCAUCUCUAAAGCAGAGCAUAAGAGCGGCCGGGCUUGAAACUUCAGGGCAGCGGCUUUGAAAUGCUUUGAGGUGCAGGCAGAAGUGAUGAGAACCCCUCCGGGAUCCAGUGAUGCUGGGUGAGCUGAGAGCCUCGAAAGGGUUGCAGAUAUCUAUUCUGUCCUCGUUGCAAAUGGGUGAUGAUGAUUACUACAGGUCAUCUGAGCACGCCAACGAGGUUCUAUGUUUGAAUAGUCAGUUUUGUACAUUACAUCAACAGAAUCGAUCACUGCCGUAGAAGCAAGUAUAGUUUACAGUAUGACAAAGGAAUACUACCUGUUGAAAGUGUAAAUGAAGGGGAGUGUCGGUCUGAAUAUUUUCAGAUUACUUUAUACUAACUUUUCAGCCUGGAACCAAAGUGGAGGAUAUUGCUCAUUGAACUUAUUCUGGACCAGGAUGAGGGAAACGUGCUAGUUUCCGUCUUUGCUGCAGACGCACAUUGAGAGCGUA